GGGACUACAGGCGCCCGCCACCACGCCCGGCUAAUUUUUUGUAUUUUUAGUAGAAACGGGGUUUCACCAUGUUAACCAGGAUGGUCUCUAUCUCCUGACCUCGUGAUCCGCCCGCCUCCGCCUCCCAAAGUGCUGGGAUCGCAGGCGUGAGCCGCCGCGCCCGGCCUUGGCCAUUGUUCUUUCAGGCAGUAUUUUAGCUGUCCUUCGGCGCAGUUGAAGAUUCUGUAACUGGGCGUUUGCCAUUCAAAAUAGGUAGAGUUGCACAUUCAAGAGGGAAACAGUCCUGAGGCAUUCUCACAGAUAAAGGUCCUCGUGGUUCAACAAGAAUGAUAUCCAGAUUGUGCUUCAGAAGUGCUUUGGGUCCACCACCUACUGCAUUUGUGUCACAAUCCCAUUUUCUGCUAAAUAGGAUCUGGACCUCCAAAAUUAAAAUUACCUGGAAGUGGACAGAGUAUAUUUGAUGAGUGCCAAUUUACAGUGGAAGAAAAAUAAACAUUCAGCUUCAAGACUAAUCAAUCGACGAAGCCAUGGCUGUGACAAACCUAAACUUCACAUGUCUUAACAGAUCUGCAUACAUAAUGCUUCGAAGGAAAAUAAAGAAAACCAACAAAGACAAUAAGCUGCUCCUUCUUCAUUUAGCCCAUCUCACUGUUGACUUCUCCAGAGAAGACGCUGUAACAGAGUUUGAAGAACAAGAUCUUUCUUGGAAAUCAACACCUGUGAAAGCAAGAGGGUAUAAGCAGAAUUGUGCAGAGGAAGAAGGUAAACCCCAAUGUAGGCCCAACUGUGCAUCUACUGAUGUGGCAAAGAGCAAAGUGAAUGUUGCUUAUCAGACUUUCUACAUUGGACCUGCAUGGUCAGGAAAUUACAUCCCUGCCUGGGUGAGUCACUGUAUGUAGUAUCCCCAGGAAGGGCAUGACCUCAUCAAAGUAGAUUUCUGCAGUUGAGACAGACCCUGAAGAUGUCAGAUGGAGGCUGUUUACUGACAAUACUCCUUGUAAUAGAACAGCUACCCCUUCCUUGUUUCCUUUGACUCUCAAACAAAAAAGACCCAUGCAGCUCUUUGGAUAGAAAUAAAUAUAUAGAUAUUUGGGUGCUGCCUAAGUCUUCUCCCAGAAGCAUCUGAGCCCU
rnacentral:lncRNA from 1 species